AUUGAACGCUGGCGGCAUGCCUUACACAUGCAAGUCGAACGGUAACAGGUCUUCUGUUGCUGACGAGUGGCGGACGGGUGCGUAAUACAUCCGAACGUGCCCAGCCGUUGGGGAUAGCGAGGCUAAAGCUUUGCUAAUACCGCAUACGAUCUAAGGAUGAAAGCCGGGGACCGCAAGGCCUUGCGCGUUUGGAUCGGGCGAUGGCCGAUUAGGUAGUUGGUGGGAUAAAAGCUUACCAGGCCGACGAUCUGUAGCUGGUCUGAGAGGACGAGCAGCCACACUGGGACUGAGACACGGCCCAGACUCCUACGGGAGGCAGCAGUGGGGAAUUUUGGACAAUGGGCGAAAGCCUGAUCCAGCAAUGCCGCGUGCAGGAUGAAGGCCUUCGGGUUGUAAACUGCUUUUGUACGGAACGAAAAGGCUCUGGCUAAUACCUGGGGCACAUGACGGUACCGGAAGAAUAAGCACCGGCUAACUACGUG
rnacentral:rRNA from 1 species